rnacentral:rRNA from 1 species
UACGUAGGGGGCAAGCGUUGUCCGGAUUUACUGGGCGUAAAGAGCGUGUAGGCGGCCACGCAGGUCCGUUGUGAAAACUGGAGGCUCAACCUUCAGACGUCGACGGAAACCGUGUGGCUAGAGUCCGGAAGAGGAGAGUGGAAUUCCUGGUGUAGCGGUGGAAUGCGUAGAGAUCAGGAAGAACACCCAUGGCGAAGGCAGCUCUCUGGGCCUGUACUGACGCUGAGACGCGAAAGCGUGGGGAGCGAACGGG